rnacentral:sRNA from 1 species
CGCCGCCGCGCUCGCUCGCUCCCUCCCUUCCUGCGCGCGCGGGGCGGCGAGACAGCGGCGGCGACGGCGCGGAGGCCCCGGGCGCGGCGCAGGCUCCAAAGAAGAAGAAACCAAGGCCCAGAGAGGCCCGGGUGCAGGGAGCAGGCGAGGGAAGGAUCCGUACAGGGGCCCAACACCACUCCACCAACUGAAGCCCCCACAAGAUGAGUUCCUGUCCAGUCUGGAGAGCUAUGAGAUCGCCUUCCCCACCCGCGUGGACCACAAUGGGGCACUGCUGGCCUUCUCGCCACCUCCUCCCCGGAGGCAGCGCCGGGGCACGGGGGCCACAGCCGAGUCCCGCCUCUUCUACAAAGUGGCCUCGCCCAGCACCCACUUCCUGCUGAACCUGACCCACAGCUCCCGUCUACUGGCAGGGCACGUCUCCGUGGAGUACUGGACACGGGAGGGCCUGGCCUGGCAGAGGGCCGCCCGGCCCCACUGCCUCUACGCUGGUCACCUGCAGGGCCAGGCCAGCAGCUCCCAUGUGGCCAUCAGCACCUGUGGAGGCCUGGUGAGCUGAGGAUUCUGGAAAGCGGGGGGAAAUGCCCACAAGUUUGGAAGUUAAGAAAAACACUUCUACAUAGAGG